rnacentral:rRNA from 1 species
CGGCCGCGGUACCCUAACCGUGCGAAGGUAGCAUAAUCACUUGUUCUUUAAAUGAGGACUCGUAUCAACGGCAUCACGAGGAUCCUACUGUCUCCCCCCUCCAAUCGGUGAAACUGAUCUCUCCGUGAAGAAGCGGAGAUGUACAUAUAAGACGAGAAGACCCCAUGGAGCUUUAAACCCAACAACACCCGCCCCCCUCCAAAUCCUAUUAUUUACCCGGUGACUGUUUGUUUGGUUUUAGGUUGGGGUGACCGCGGAGUAUAAGAUAUCCUCCAUGAAAAAAAGCUAACUGCCCUUAUUAGAGAAAGACACUUCCAAAAAAUAAUAAAUUAAUUUUAAAUGAUCCGACAUUCGAUCAACGAACCAAGUUACCCUGGGGAUAACAGCGCAAUCCGCCCCGAGAGCCCCUAUCGACAGGCGGGUUUACGACCUCGAUGUUGGAUCAGGGUAUCCCAGUGGUGCAGCAGCUACUAAAGGUUCGUUUGUUCAACGAUUAAAACCCUA